AUUGAACGCUGGCGGCAUGCCUUACACAUGCAAGUCGAACGGUAACAGGUCUUCGGAUGCUGACGAGUGGCGAACGGGUGAGUAAUACAUCGGAACGUGCCCGAGAGUGGGGGAUAACGAGGCGAAAGCUUUGCUAAUACCGCAUACGAUCUCAGGAUGAAAGCAGGGGACGGCAAGGCCUUGCGCUCACGGAGCGGCCGAUGGCAGAUUAGGUAGUUGGUGGGAUAAAAGCUUACCAAGCCGACGAUCUGUAGCUGGUCUGAGAGGACGACCAGCCACACUGGGACUGAGACACGGCCCAGACUCCUACGGGAGGCAGCGGUGGGGAAUUUUGGACAAUGGGCGCAAGCCUGAUCCAGCCAUGCCGCGUGCAGGAUGGAGGCCUUCGGGUUGUAAACUGCUUUUGUACGGAACGAAAAGACUCCUUCUAAUAAAGGGGGCCCAUGACGGUACCGUAAGAAUAAGCACCGGCUAACUACGUGCCAGCCGCCGCAGUAAAAC
rnacentral:rRNA from 1 species